rnacentral:misc_RNA from 1 species
UGCAUGGCGCGCUCCGUCCUCCAGUUUACGAUCGGCGUUUAGAUGAGUCGUGUCAACGAGUGUCGUUCGACCGGGUGCAUCGUCGAUCGCGAACUCGCGAAACGUGAAAGUGAAAGAGAGUUUUUUCCUCGCGCCGAUCGAUAUCAUGUCCUCCCGUAAAGAUUCGGCGAUGAUCAGACUCGUACGAACGAAAUGUGCACGCGACAAAAUGCGACGUGAGUCACAUUCGAAUGGGAGACGACGAGCGACGGCGGAUCGGAUGUGAUUCUUUUCCGCAGGGAUCAAGAUGAUACCGCGCGAAGUGACGUGCCGGCAUUAGACAACCGACUAAUAUACUUAAUUCGAAGGAAAGUGUGGUGACGACGAAUUGCGGCAGGGAGCGAGGAGACUCGAGUGGAACAAGUCGUGAAGAUACCUGCGAAGCAACAGGAAGCUCGCUAAAAGCUUUGCGAUGCGUAAAACGUAGGGUUGCGGCACGUCCUACUUUCAGUCGGACAGCCCUAGAAUUCGGCGUUUUUACAUCUGCGCCUAAACGUUUCUCCAUUUUUCGGACCAAGAGUUUUUGUCAAUCGCGCAGUGAAACUGAAAAAAGUGAUGAUUAACGUAAAUUCAAGCGUUACUAGAUCUCUCUCAUUUGACUGCUUCAUUCCAGUUACGCAGUCGUUUCCGUGCACGUACCGCUUUUCCACCCUUUAAAAUGCGACAACUCUAGUGAACCUUCGCGCCGCGAAGUGGUGCCGCGAUAACGAGCGCGACUCGUGAGUACGUGACGAUCUUUUCACGUGAGAAAUUUUCAACUAUGAUAAUCUCAUCCGCCAGAAUGUCGGCCGUCGAUGAACUAACGACCGUCGCGACGGAGAACAGCAGUAACACGACGGACUUUCCUGAUUAUGACAUGAACGAAUCACUCAGUCAUUUUGAGUGGUUAGAGCUGGCGCCAAUGCUGACCAUCUACAGCUUGACUUUUCUGCUCGGAUUAGCUGGUAACGUCGUUAUCAUCGCUUCCACCCUUUGUCCACGGCUCCGACCGCUACCAGCGACGCCAACCAACGUUUUCCUGGGGGGCCUUGCCACCGCCGACCUCGUGCUUAUCAUAUUCUGCAUACCUGUGAAGGUAGCGAAAUUGUUCUCCUACACGUGGACCAUGGGUCUCUUCUUAUGCAAAGCGGUGCACUACAUGCAGAGUGUGUCGGCUAUCUGCUCGGUCGUUACUCUCACCGCGAUGUCGAUUGAGAGGUAUUACGCGAUAGUGCAUCCGAUGAGAGCGCAGUAUACGUGUACGAUAAGCCAGGCUCGCAAGAUCGUGAUUAUGACUUGGAUCGCGGCGUUUCUCCUGGGAAUUCCAAUGCUGUUUACACAGACGCAUAAAAAGGUCGGACUGCGAAUCAUUGCCUACUGGUGCGUGCGUGAUUCUGAAGCCGGGCUACUUUGGCGGGCUCAUGAAGUCUACAUGCUCAUCCUGGUCCUUGUGCUGCCACUGACCGUCAUGGCAUUCUGCUAUACGACCAUCUGCUGGGAAAUCUGGCGUGUCAUGAAGCGCCGGUACCACAUGACGUCACGACACGCAUUAAAUCCAAACAAUGUGGAAUCUAUACCGAUGACGCAGAAAGGUAUGCCUAUGAGGCAAAAGGGAAAUGAACGCAGACCGCGUCGGGAUGACGGUGACGAUGAAUCACGAACUAUGAAACAGGUGGUGAAAAUGCUGGUAGCGGUCGUGGUGUUGUUCGCUGUUUGUUGGGGUCCAAUGCUCGUCGACAACGUGCUGACCGCUUAUGGCUACCUGCCUCGCCUAAAGGGCGGCACGCACAAGCACCUCAACACCGCGUUCCAGCUGAUGGCCUAUUUUAACAGUGAGGAAGUUGCUGCCUCUCGAGAGUCGUUCCAGCGAGCUCGUGUUAUCAGUAGAGGAGCCACGUCACUGGUCAGCCGCCGGUUCCAUCCCGCCUAAUAAAUCGUGCAGUCUGCACGCAAUUUAUAUGCUGUAAAGCAGGCAAGAGGUGCAAACGCGAGUAGUCUGCUAUUGUCUGCUUCGCGAAACCGCUCCACUUGGUACGUAAAUGGAAAAUAACACAUGGAAAAUAAUAAUUGCAGAAAUUAUAUGAAAUAUUAGCAAGAAUUACAAAUUGAAAACACUCAUUCUUAUAUACUGUAGUGCAUUUAUUUAAUAUUAAUAAAUGGAAAUUGUUAUGGGUUAUAAAUAGAAA